GUUCCCGCUUCUCUUCAGUCUCCCACUCUAUUUCCACAGCAGUCCUUCUGCCUGGCUGUCAUUCAGCUCAGCUGUUUUCUGGAGACUUCUGCCUGCCUUGCCUGCACUUGAAGCAUCGUGCUAUGGGCAGAGAUGUAGCUAGAGAAGGGAAGACAUGUGGGCUGUGCAGCUGUGGUGUGCGAAGGAUGAGAGAGUCACAGCCAGGGGGAAAGAGAAGGUGAGGAGACACCUCCAGCUUCAGUGUCCUGGCAUCUGAGCAGAAACAUUACCAACCUGCUCCUGGCUUGUCUGUAAAGGGAUGUGCGGAGUCGGAGGGAGUUGGAAGGGCUGGGUCCUGGCUUCCCUGGAUGUGGGAAGACCCGGGAGCCUCAGAGAGCGAUGAAGUCAUUAU